rnacentral:rRNA from 1 species
UACGUAGGGUGCGAGCGUUAAUCGGAAUUACUGGGCGUAAAGCGUGCGCAGGCGGUCUGUUAAGACAGAUGUGAAAUCCCCGGGCUUAACCUGGGAACUGCAUUUGUGACUGGCAGGCUAGAGUAUGGCAGAGGGGGGUGGAAUUCCGCGUGUAGCAGUGAAAUGCGUAGAGAUGCGGAGGAACACCGAUGGCGAAGGCAGCCCCCUGGGCUAACACUGACGCUCAGGCACGAAAGCGUGGGGAGCAAACAGG